UACGGAGGGGGCGAGCGUUGUCCGGAAUCACUGGGCGUAAAGGGCGCGUAGGCGGCCUGAUAAGUCGGGGGUGAAAUCCUGCGGCUUAACCGCAGGGCUGCCUUCUAAACUGUCAGGCUAGAGCACAGUAGAGGCAGGUGGAAUUCCCGGUGUAGCGGUGGAAUGCGUAGAGAUCGGGAAGAACAUCAGGGGCGAAGGCGGCCUGCUGGGCUGUUGCUGACGCUGAGGCGCGACAGCGGCGGGAGCAAACAGG
rnacentral:rRNA from 1 species